rnacentral:rRNA from 1 species
GUCAUAGAAUUUUUUAAAAUUCAUGAUGUCGUAAGGGAAAAUAAUGAUAAUACCUUACUAUGAGUGUCGUCCAAAUCUGGUGCCAGAAGACUCGGUAAGACCAGAGACGCAAACGUUAAUCAUCAUAAACAGGCGUAAAGGGUUUGUAGGCAGCUUUCACCAAACUAUGAUUACAAAAUAAAGUAGUUUAAUUGAAAGCUAGAAUCAAAAAGAGGUUAUAGUGUAUAACGCCUAGAGGAGGGCUGAUAUCCAUAGAUCCUAGGCAGAAUACUCAGGGCGAAGGCCACUCUCCACUACUGAUUGACGCUGAGAAACGAAGGUUAGGGUAGGAAAUAGGAUUAGAUACCCCGGUACUCCUUUCUGUAAACGAUGAAUGGUAGUCAUUAGUUUUAUAACUAGAGACGAAGUUAACACAAUAACCAUUCCGCCUUGUGAGUACUACUGCAAAGUAGAAAACAAAAAAAUUAGUCGGUCUCGAAGCAAACGGAGUGAAGCAUGUUAUUUAAUUCGUAA